rnacentral:rRNA from 1 species
GGAAUUGCUAGUAAUCGCGGAUCAGCAUGCCGCGGUGAAUACGUUCUCGGGCCUUGUACACACCGCCCGUCACACCAUGGGAGUCGGUAACACCCGAAGUCUGUAGCCUGACGCAAGAGGGCGCAGCCGAAGGUGGGAUUGAUGACUGGGGUGAAGUCGUAACAAGGUAGC